GAAGAAUUUGCGAACCUCGAAGAACUUCUCAAAUCGAAUGAGCAUCGAAUAUACCUGACACAAAAACUAUCCUCUAUUGGAGGCACAAGUGGCCGUCAAUGCGUAUUGGCUGUUCUCAAGUCAUUACUAACAAACGAAUUAGCCAUGCAGUUCAAUUGGGCUGGUAGAGAUAAAAUUGCUUUCCAAAAGACACUGGUGAUGCAAGUUAUUUACGAUGCUGUUAAAGCUACUUUCCAUGGUAAGGAAUUAGUAAGCGAUAUCAAGGAAGCGAAUAUUGCAGCUGCAGUUAAAGAUUGGUUGAAACUCGCUCGAUCGCGAUACUUCUACGUACCUAAAAGACGCCUUCAAUAGUAUCUGUGUUCUCUUUCGAAAUAAUGUGUCAAUACUUUUUCUAACUCACUCUGCCAGGAUUGUGAUUUUUUUUCAAGUCCCAAGAGAAAGCUAACGAUUUUCCUCAUUGAGGUGUAUCCACUGUAUAAUUAGUUUGUUUUAUGUUUCAUUCGUUGUCAAACCACUCGUAUCCGAUACAAGUUUUUGUUUGUUUAGAUUUACUUAAGUUUACUGUAUGUUGUACUUCUAUACUCAAGUCCGGAGUAGAUGAAAGAUAACGAUUUUCCUCAUUGAGGUACAAUCAUUGUAUGAUUAUUUUGUUUCAUGUUUUAUUUGUUAUCAAAGUACUCGUAUCGGAUACAAGUUUUUGUUUGUUUAUAUUUACGUAAGUUUACUAUUUGCUAUAGCUACUAUACUCUUGUGAGUAUAUCUA